GUACACGCUGUGACUAGCAUAUCAAUAAGCGGAGGAAAAGAAACUAACAAGGAUUCCCCUAGUAACGGCGAGUGAAGCGGGAAGAGCUCAAAUUUGAAAUCUUAAAGGGUUUCCCUUUACGAAUUGUAGUUUAAAGAAGUGUUUUCUGUUGAGGUUUUGGUAAAAGUUCUUUGGAAUAGGACAUCAUAGAGGGUGAGAAUCCCGUAUUUGACCUUUACUUUCAACUUUGUGAUACACUUUCAAAGAGUCGGAUUGUUUGGGAAUGCAGUCCAAAAUGGGUGGUAAAUUUCAUCUAAAGCUAAAUAUUGGCGAGAGACCGAUAGCGAACAAGUACCGUGAGGGAAAGAUGAAAAGAACUUUGAAAAGAGAGUUAAACAGUACGUGAAAUUGUCAAAAGGGAAGCGUUUGACACCAGUGUUGUUUUUCUGAAAAUCAAUUAAAGAACUGUUUAUGCUAAGUUGUUUAGACUUUAUCAGCUAACUGUUUAGUUUUGAGCUUUUCUUUAAUGCACUUUUCAGUUAACAAGUCAACAUCAAUUUCUUUUGCCGUAAAAAAGCUUGAGGAAGGUGGCUUGAGAUUCGUCUUAAGUGUUUAUAGCCUCUUGCCUAUGCAGUCGGAGAGAUUGAGGUCUGCAGCGUAGAUCCUUCGGGGCUAAAUGCAUUUGUGCUAAGUUAUAGCAUUUUAUAGACAACUUGUUGACUAUGAUUUGUCUUGUAGCUUACUCGCUUAUGUUAUUUUACCUACGCUUAGGAUGUUGAAGAUGUAGCACAUCAU
rnacentral:rRNA from 1 species